rfam:Triticum aestivum genome assembly, contig: Triticum_aestivum_CS42_TGACv1_scaffold_146134_2BS
AAAAUACUCCCUCCGCUCGAAAAUACAUGUCGGGGAAAUGGAUGUGUGUAGACGUAUUUUAGUUCUAAAUACAUCCAUUUUCCUCAUUUCUAUGACAAGCAAUUCCGGACGAAGGGAGUAUUAU